rnacentral:rRNA from 1 species
UACAGAGGUCCCUAGCGUUGUUCGGAUUCAUUGGGCGUAAAGGGUGCGUAGGCGGCGCGGUAAGUCGGGUGUGAAAUCUCGGGGCUUAACUCCGAAACUGCAUUCGAUACUGCCGUGCUUGAGGACUGGAGAGGAGACUGGAAUUUACGGUGUAGCGGUGAAAUGCGCAGAUAUCAGGAGGAACACCGGUGGCGAAGGCGGUUCUCUGGGCAUGUCCUGACGCUGAGGAGCGAAAGUGUGGGGAGCGAACAGG